UACGUAGGGUGCGAGCGUUAAUCGGAAUUACUGGGCGUAAAGCGUGCGCAGGCGGUUUUGUAAGCCAGAUGUGAAAUCCCCGGGCUUAACCUGGGAAUGGCAUUUGGGACUGCAAGGCUGGAGUUUGGCAGAGGAGGCUGGAAUUCCUGGUGUAGCAGUGAAAUGCGUAGAUAUCUGGAGGAACACCGGUGGCGAAGGCGGCAUUCUGGACCGAAACUGACGCUGAGGCGCGAAAGCCAGGGGAGCAAACGGG
rnacentral:rRNA from 1 species